UACGUAGGGUGCAAGCGUUGUCCGGAAUUAUUGGGCGUAAAGAGCUCGUAGGCGGUUUGUCGCGUCGGCUGUGAAAACUCGGGGCUCAACCCCGAGCCUGCAGUCGAUACGGGCAAACUAGAGUGUGGUAGGGGAGACUGGAAUUCCUGGUGUAGCGGUGAAAUGCGCAGAUAUCAGGAAGAACACCCGUGGCGAAGGCGGCUCUCUGGGACGGUACUGACGCUGAGACGCGAAAGCGUGGGGAGCGAACAGG
rnacentral:rRNA from 1 species